UAUGCGGCUUCAGAGCCAGAGCUGAAUGGAACGGAAGAAAGCAAAAGCCCUUCUGGUUCGCGCUAUAUACUCUUGGAAUAACGGAGCGCAGAGGGUCGGUAAUAUUGUCCUUCGGUAAUGGGCUGUUCUCCCCUCUCUCCCUCCUCUUCUUUCUUUCUCUCACUUUUGCGCUCUUCUUUUUCCUCUCUUUCUCUAUCUUGCCACACUUUGCUUUUUCUCUCGCAGGCUCUUCUCGCGCCCAUGACUUUUUUGCCUUUUCACCCUUUUCACACUCUCAUAUCUGUUAAAUUCUUAACUUUUUUCCUGUUUUCUAUAUCCUCAUUUUUUUCCUGCAGCAGUCUUUUCCUUUAUUUCGGAUUACACUUGGGCGUAUAGGUAUGUAUUAUUUCAAGUACAAUGGUACCGUUAAAGCGCUGCAUUUUACUAAAGUGUCUGGCGGUUGUAAAUAUUUUUUUAUCGCACUCGUAAAAUUGCUCGAGGUUUUUCUGAGACGCAAUUUUAACAUACCUUGAAAAUAACAUUCCUAAGAUAUGUAGAAAAUUUUUAGAACAUUUCCUAAAUGACAUUUUAAUAUGUGAACAAUACAAAGUAAUCGACUGUGCUUAUUAUUUUAUUUAAAUAAACAUUUAGAAGGUCUAUGUUUUAAUGUUAUGCUAUUGUGGGUCAUCGAUAUAUUAAAGUGCAUAAUUUUAAAACUGAGUUGUGAAAGACUUUGCCAGCUGAACUUCUCGAUCGUUCAUCGGUCGUCUACGAUACACAAACGUCGCGCUGAGCAUUUUCAAUAACAACGUUUUUCUCGGGUGCGUUGGAUCUCAUUCAUUAAAACUCAAAAUGAAAUUUAUUAUUUUCCUUAUUCUUACCAUUGCUUACCUUGCUUUAUCCACUGAGGGUAUGUGUAAACAGUUGUAUUAAAUUUGAAACUAUACACUUAUACACUGAGAAUUAAAUUUACGUCUUUUGUGAAUUCCUUAUGCACAAUAUCAUUGUUUUUCACAGACCGUAUUGGGGCAAUAAAACCGAUAUGCAUUAAAAACUGCAAAGAUCGAGGAUUAGAUAAAGAAUAAAUACUUCAGUACUGACCCAGAGAGAGAGAGAGAGAGAGAGAGAGAGAGAGAUAGCAUGCAUAGCAUGGCAUUCCAUACAAAUCUACGAAUCCAUGUAUUAUAAAUUUGACUAUUGAAUAAAAGACCGAAUAAAUGUUUCCUUUCAACCCAG